UGAAACAAUUUUCUCAUCAGUUAUGUUGUAAUAUAAUAUAUUUUCAUUGUUUAGUCUUAUGCUGAAGCAAUUUGGAACGUAAACACUAAAUAUAAUACAACUGAAAUGUAUGAUUUCCGGCGACACGGUGUGUUGUGUUAAAAUGUGUUGACUCAGCCAGAUAUUGUUCAAACUUUAGGCUCGACGGAAUUAAAAGCUUGUGAAGUUGAAACAAAAUCAGUGGAAACGAUAUACCUACGCUAAAUACAACGGGUAAAAAUAUCUCCUGAUGUCAUGACACUUCUGUAGCACUCUUCAGCACGUCGAAUAUAAAGUUCAGCUCAUCCGCGAAUUAGCCAAAGACCAUUGACGUCCACACGUUGGUAUGCCUGGUUGCUGUUGCCGCCGUAAAUGCAGACAUGCAUUGGCUGUCGCGUUCCGGCGUGGCGGCAUCACAUUGGGGGAUAACGCCGAACUCGUCGUCACGUAUUUUGCUUUACUCGUCGUCUUGUCAAUUGUUUUUACUUGUCACCACCCAGCGCUAUGCUACUGCUCGUUACGACAGACAUACAUCGUUGCUGAAUAACCAUUAUAAACACAACCACACAUUUGGUACCUACAUACUUUAUUAUACUUAAAAUAAACAUUAUGGAUGUGAAACCACAUACAAGUAACGCAUUAAUUACUGCAAAAAAAGGACCAUAUUAUGUAAAAGAAGAACCAGAUGUAAAAGAAACAUUUGUAAAGCGAGUUAAACGUCGAGGGCGCCCAAAACUCGUGUCUCAACAAACACCAUUUUGCCCUCCGUUUAUGGUCAGAUGUGACAACGAUCAAUCACAUUUCAAUUACCGUACAGUAUGGGCAUGUAGAAUUUGCACCAAAAUAUUAUUGAGUAAAGCUGCCGCUAUAAGCCACGCUGCUAUAUGUAAGCUAGCCAUUACAAAAGAAGAAGAUAUUCCAAUUGCAGAUUUGAAUUAUAUGGAAAAAAACAUGUGUUAUCCGUGCAAAUAUUGUGAUAAAAAAAUGCGGAGAAAAGUGAUCUGGCUAAAGCAUUUGAACGAACAUGAGACACCAGAUUAUGAUGAAAAUAAUUGGGGUGUUGAUGAUAUACUGAUAGCAAAUUUGAAACAGCCAGACAAAGUUGUCUCAAAACAAAUGAAACAGGAACCUGACUUUAAUCCUUCCACUUUAUAACUUAACACACUUGAUAUUGAACCCCAAGAAAAUAUUGGAAGUAUCCUUCUUGAGUUAUCACAACCUGAAACUAUUAUUUUCAAUGAUCAGCAUACUCCUUUAACAUUAAUUGAUACAACUCCGGAUACAACAGCAUCAACCCUUGCAUCAACUUCAUCAAGUAGUUUGCAGGUAGAAAGAACUGCAUGUGUUCAAGAUUUUGAUGCAUUCUCUAAAAAUAAUGAAAUUGGUGAAACAAGCGAUUCACAAAGGUCAUAUGCAAAUACAUGUGACAAUACCUUCAUCGAGGAAAGUAACUAGAGAUGAGAACGGGAAAAAUCUUUUACAAAAUAUAGAAUCAAAGAUUCGCAAAAUUCAGUUCUAAAAAUUACUGUAAUAGCAUUGGAAAUGGAAGCACUUUUAAACAAAAUGGCACAGAAAGAAAGCCCUAUCCAACCAUGCAUAUUGAUUGUUGGUACAUUAUUUGAGCCUAAAUAAAUUAUAAUAUAUUUUGAUAGUCAAUUAGUCAAAUAUAUGACUUUUACAAUUUUAAAAGCAUUUGAUGUUUGCUUCAAAAUUUUUCACGUUUUCAAUGUUGAAUAUCCACACGAAUCAGAGGAUAUAUGGUUAUUUUUUACAAAAAGUAUUUUAUAAUAUUCAUACAAAGUAUGACAAAUUACUUCUGAACUUAGUGGCUAAGGCAUAUUCCAUUUAUUAUUAUUAUUAUUAAAAUAUUUAUUUUCUUUAUACAUUUGAUUAACAUAUUAAAAUAAUUAUUUUCUUUUUACCUUUAGCUAUCAUACUAAAAAAUAUUUAUAAAUUAUAAUUUUCAAAAAUGAUGUUUAUAUAGGUACCUAUUUACAUUUAUUUUUAUUUUAUUUUUAAAUGUAGUUAAAUAUUAUUAUAAUUUAUGAUUUGAAUGUUGUUUGUUUGUAUAUGAUAAUGCUAUAACACAAUACCUAAUUAUGUUUAUUUAGAUACCAACCUAAUAGUUUUUCAAAUUCAUAUAUACUUAUUUUGUUAUAUUUAUGUAACGUAUUAUUAUAUAUUAUAAUUUUUCUAUCUUUAUUAUAUAUAGGAUAUAUAUAGGAACCCUGUUUGAUUUGUAUAUAAUUAUUUUUAUUAUUAAUAUGGGUCCUCCUCCAUUAUCUAAUAUUAUAUAACAAUUUACCUAUAUAUUGUUAUUUAUUUAAUUUAUG